GGGGUUGUGGUCUAGUGGUAUGACAUCUUCUUAGCAUUGCUCUUUGAGCAUUACUGAGUGGAGAAGGUUCUGGGUUCGAUUCCCAGCUACUCCA
rfam:Aureobasidium subglaciale EXF-2481 unplaced genomic scaffold scaffold_13, whole genome shotgun sequence.